rnacentral:lncRNA from 1 species
GCUUCAAUUGAGUUCUAAACUCUUAGCAUAAAUUAGCUCUAUGUAGUCAAUCAAGUCAACUUAGAAAUCAGUUUUAAGUUAGGGGUUUUAUCUUUUCAACUCAAUUAUAACCCUUAUUUGCAAACAUAAUGGUGAAAUAUCCUUAUUUGUUGUAAAAAUUAUUCAAUAGGAGUAAUAGAUUUCGCUCCUAGUAAUGUUGCAACACCCCG